rnacentral:rRNA from 1 species
GUAGAUCAUCUGCCCUCAGGCCCGGGAUAGCUGCGGGAAACUGCAGGUAAUACCGGAUAAUAUCUCCGGAUCAAAGGUGUGAUUCCGCCUGGGGAUGAGUCUACAUCCUAUUAGCUAGUUGGUAGGGUAAUGGCCUACCAAGGCAUUGAUGGGUAGCGGGUGUGAGAGCACGACCCGCGUCAUUGGGACUGAGACACUGCCCAGACACCUACGGGUGGCUGCAGUCGAGAAUCUUCGGCAAUGGGCGCAAGCCUGACCGAGCGACGCCGCGUGCGGGAUGAAGGCCUUCGGGUUGUAAACCGCUGUCAGAGGGGAUGAAAUGCAGGUGGGUUCUCCCAUCUGUUUGACAUAGCCUCAGAGGAAGGACGGGCUAAGUUCGUGCCAGCAGCCGCGGUAAGACGAACCGUCCAAACGUUAUUCGGAAUUACUGGGCUUAAAGGGUGCGUAGGCGGCGCGGAAAGUUGGGUGUGAAAUCCCUCGGCUCAACCGAGGAACUGCGCCCAAUACUGCCGUGCUC